UACGUAGGGUGCAAGCGUUGUCCGGAAUUAUUGGGCGUAAAGAGCUCGUAGGCGGUCUGUCGCGUCGGCUGUGAAAACUUGGGGCUCAACCCCAAGCCUGCAGUCGAUACGGGCAGACUAGAGUGCGGUAGGGGAGACUGGAAUUCCUGGCGUAGCGGUGAAAUGCGUAGAUAUCAAGUGGAACACCAGUGGCGAAGGCGAGUCUCUGGACAUUUCCUGACGCUGAGGCACGAAAGCCAGGGGAGCAAACGGG
rnacentral:rRNA from 1 species